UCCAAUGUGGUGUAGUGGCUAACAUUGCUGUCUUUCAUCGUAAAUUAUAAAGCACAGCAGCCCGGGGUUCGAUUCCCCGCAUUGGAA